rnacentral:rRNA from 1 species
GAACGCUGGCGGCAUGCUUAACACAUGCAAGUCGAGCGGAGAUGAGGUGCUUGCACCUUAUCUUAGCGGCGGACGGGUGAGUAAUGCUUAGGAAUCUGCCAUUUAGUGGGGGACAACAUUCCGAAAGGAAUGCUAAUACCGCAUACGUCCUACGGGAGAAAGCAGGGGAUCUUCGGACCUUGCGCUAAAUGAUGAGCCUAAGUCGGAUUAGCUAGUUGGUGGGGUAAAGGCCUACCAAGCCAACGAUCUGUAGCUGGUCUGAGAGGACGACCAGCCACACUGGAACUGAGACACGGUCCAGACUCCUACGGGAGGCAGCAGUGGGGAAUUUUGGACAAUGGGCGAAAGCCUGAUCCAGCCAUUCCGCGUGCAGGAUGAAGGCCCUCGGGUUGUAAACUGCUUUUGUACAGAACGAAAAGGUUUCUAUUAAUACUAGGAGCUCAUGACGGUACUGUAAGAAUAAGCACCGGCUAACUACGUG